rnacentral:sRNA from 1 species
UAUACAAUUGAUUAUCACCAUAUAUCAAUCUUUUGUCAGGUUUGAAGUACUACUGGUAGCAGAAUGAAAUCCCUGCCUCCAACAUAAUACAAAGAUUGGUUUGAAUCUCACCAAGUUAAUUGUGAUAUCAACUAGAUCUAUUCUAUAAAGGAUUCAAGCAAUGGUGGCGACGCAUUCCGCUGAAAUAUUCUGGAAGAUAUUCAUCAACGAGUUUAACUGCGAUACACCACAGUGUUAUCCAAAUCUUUUAACAGAGUGUGUGGGAUUUAACCUUUUGAAGAUAUAAAAGUAA